rnacentral:rRNA from 1 species
GAGUAGUAUAUGUUUUAGACAGGAAACUUAAAGAAUUUGGCGGUGUAUAUUCUAAUUAGAGGAAUAUGUUUUUUAAUUGAUAAUCCACAUGUAUUUCACUUAAGUUAAUUUAUUUUGUAUAUCUCCGUCUUAAAAGGACUUUCUAAAAUAUUCUUUAUGUUUUAUUAUUCAAAAUAAGUCAGGUCAAGGUGCAGAUUACACUUAAGUUAAAAUGUAUUACAAUAAAUUUAUUUUUGGAUUAAAAAUUAAAUAUUUUUAUAAAAUUGGAUUUAUAAGUAAAGGUUUUUAUAUAAAAAUUUUUUGAAUAGUGUUAAUAUAUAUGCACACAUC